ACUUAGUCAGGUAUAACAUGUAGCUAAAUUUAAAACUCAUGUUUUUUAAACGGUGAUGCGACAUAAAUUGCUAGCAAUAAAGAUAUAAUAUGCGUAUAAGAAUAAUAAUGAUGACAAUCAUAUAAAAUACUAAUAAUAAUAACAAAACCAACACUAAUAACAAUGAUAACAACGAUAAUAAAAGCACGAACUGCACCAUAAAUUAAAAAAC
rnacentral:lncRNA from 1 species